AAACAUGAUGCCAGACGGAGCGGCGUCUCGCCAGCGUCCCCGUAACCUAGCAACUUGGUUAAUAUUUUUAUUGGUUAAUAAUAUUUGACGCUAUAUAGGCUACUCAGUUAUCUACGAGCUUCCGUUUUGAUUUAUGAAGUGUGAAGUGUGGCGUGGGACCAUUUUAUCGUUUAAAAAACGAUAACGUUAGUUCACUGCAAACACUGCGAUGCAAUAAUUGCCUACCAGUAGGGCUAUCAGUGCACGAGCAAUAGAAGACAUGGUUUCGAUUUAACUCAAUGAAAUAAGAGCUCUUAAUAUUUUAUAUUGUUGGUUGGUUUAAUACCUUGUUGUCAAUGAAAAGUCGUUGUCCUACACCAUGGUCAGGGUCUCCAAC